rnacentral:rRNA from 1 species
AUACGUAGGUGACAAGCGUUAUCCGGAUUUACUGGGCGUAAAGGGCGUGUAGGCGGUCUUGCAAGUCAGAAGUGAAAUUCCUGAGCUCAACUCGGGCGCUGCUUCUGAAACUGCAGGACUUGAGUGCUGGAGGGGAUAGCGGAAUUCCUAGUGGAGCGGUAAAGUGCGCAGAUAUUAGGAAGAACACCGGUGGCGAAGGCGGCUAUCUGGACAGUAACUGACGCUGAGGCGCGAAAGCGUGGGGAGCAAACAGGAUUAGAUACCCUGGUAGUCCACGCUGUAAACGAUGAAUACUAGGUGUGGGGGGACUGACCCCCUCCGUGCCGCAGUUAACACAAUAAGUAUUCCACCUGGGGAGUACGAUCGCAAGAUUGAAACUCAAAUGAAUUGACGGGG